UACGGAGGGUGCGAGCGUUAAUCGGAAUAACUGGGCGUAAAGGGCACGCAGGCGGGCUUUUAAGUGAGAUGUGAAAUCCCCGGGCUUAACCUGGGAAAAGCAUUUCAGACUGGGAAACUAGAGAAAUGUAGGGAGGGGUAGAAUUCCACGUGUAGCGGUGAAAUGCGUAGAGAUGAGGAGGAAUACCGAAGGCGAAGGCAGCCCCUUGGGAAUGUACUGACGCUCAGGUGCGAAAGCGUGGGGAGCAAACAGG
rnacentral:rRNA from 1 species